GGUCCCAUAACUCAGUUGGUUAGAGUGUCGUACUAAUAUUAUAGCUUGUUUAUAAAAUUAGUAAUGCGAAAGUCGUGAGUUCGACCCUCACUGGGACCA